UACGGAGGUGGCAAGCGUUACUCGGAUUCAUUGGGUGUAAAGGGCGUGUAGGCGGUUACGUAAGUUGAGUGUGAAAUCCCACGGCUCAACCGUGGAACUGCACUCAAAACUGCGCGACUUGGGUGUGGGAGAGGAGAAUGGAAUUCCCGGUGUAAGGGUGAAAUCUGUGGAUAUCGGGAGGAACACCAGUGGCGAAGGCGAUUCUCUGGCCCAUUACCGACGCUGAGAAGCGAAAGCGUGGGGAGCAAAC
rnacentral:rRNA from 1 species